GAGUUUGAUCUUAGCUCAGAUUGAACGCUAGCGGGAUGCCUUACACAUGCAAGUCGAACGGCAGCACGGACUUCGGUCUGGUGGCGAGUGGCGAACGGGUGAGUAAUGUAUCGGAACGUGCCUAGUAGCGGGGGGAUAACUACGCGAAAGCGUAGCUAAUACCGCAUACGCCUACGGGGAAAGCAGGGGAUCGCAAGACCUUGCACUAUUAGAGCGGCCGAUAUCGGAUUAGCUAGUUGGUGGGUAACGGCUCACCAGGGCGACGAUCCGUAGCUGGUUUGAGAGGACGACCAGCCACACUGGGACUGAGACACGGCCCAGACUCCCACGGGAGGCAGCAGUGGGAAUUUUGGACAAUGGGGGAAACCCUGAUCCAGCCAUCCCGCGUGUGCGAUGAAGGCCUCGGUGU
rnacentral:rRNA from 1 species